CCGAACGGCGCGACUUCGUAGCGUUUCGGAAACGCCUCGGGCGAUCCUCCUUCUCGACGGCCAAAUUACGAUCGGACGAUGGCAGGAAUUGCAGUUUUGCUUCCGAGAAGAAAUUGGCUUUCAAUUGCCUAAUUAAAUAAUU